rnacentral:rRNA from 1 species
UACGUAGGGUGCGAGCGUUAAUCGGAAUUACUGGGCGUAAAGCGUGCGCAGGCGGUUUUGCAAGCCGGAUGUGAAAUCCCCGGGCUCAACCUGGGAAUGGCAUUUGGGACUGCAAGGCUCGAGUGCGGCAGAGGAGACUGGAAUUCCUGGUGUAGCAGUGAAAUGCGUAGAUAUCAGGAGGAAUACCGAUGGCGGAGGCAGGUCUCUGGGCUGACACUGACGCUCAUGCACGAAAGCGUGGGGAGCAAACAGG